UCCAGACUCCUACGGGAGGCAGCAGUGGGGAAUAUUGCGCAAUGGGCGAAAGCCUGACGCAGCGACGCCGCGUGAGGGAUGGAGGUCUUCGGAUCGUAAACCUCUGUCAGCAGGGAAGAACGGUCACUGUGCUAAUCAGCAGUGAAUUGACGGUACCUGCAAAGGAAGCACCGGCUAACUCCGUGCCAGCAGCCGCGGUAAUACGGAGGGUGCGAGCGUUAAUCGGAAUCACUGGGCGUAAAGCGCGCGUAGGCGGCUUUUCAAGUCAGGGGUGAAAUCCCACGGCCCAACCGUGGAACUGCCUUUGAAACUGUAGAGCUUGAGUGUCGGAGAGGGUGGCGGAAUUCCAGGUGUAGGAGUGGAAUCCGUAGAUAUCUGGAGGAACAUCAGUGGCGAAGGCGGCCACCUGGACCGGUAUUGACGCUGAGGCGCGAAGGCGUGGGGAGCAAACAGGAUUAGAUACCCCCGUACUU
rnacentral:rRNA from 1 species